CUUUUCUAUAAUAUGAGCAUACUGAAGCCUGCAGUCUGUUUCCGUUUAGAAUUAGAAUAGUAUUUUGAAAAUAGUCAACAAGAAAUGUAAACAUUCUUGAAAGAUACCUUCUGUGAACUAGUAAUUUCUUAACAGCUGGUUGCCUUUUUCAGUGUUUUCUUUUUUUAAGCUUGGAUAUUUUUUACUUUAAAAAUUGAUUUUACUGAAAAUUCAAUACUUCAACCUGUUAAUGAAAUGUUGUUUUAGAAUCAAAGGGAAACUUGAAGAACAGAGACCAGAAAGAGUAAAACCUUUUAUGACAGGGGCUGCAGAACAAAUCAAGCACAUCCUUGCUAAUUUCAAAAACUACCAGUUCUUUAUUGGUGAAAACAUGAAUCCAGAUGGCAUGGUUGCUCUAUUGGACUACCGUGAGGAUGGUGUGACCCCAUAUAUGAUUUUCUUUAAGGAUGGUUUAGAAAUGGAAAAAUGUUAACAAAUUUGGCAAUUAUUUUGGAUCUAUCACCUGUCAUCAUAACUGGCUUCUGCUUGUCAUCCACACAACACCAGGACUUAAGACAAAUGGGACUGAUGUCAUCUUGAGCUCUUCAUUUAUUUUGACUGUGAUUUAUUUGGAGUGGAGGCAUUGUUUUUAAGAAAAACAUGUCAUGUAGGUUGUCUAAAAAUAAAAUGCAUUUAAACUCAUUUGAGAGAAUGCCUUUUAGUUUAAUGCAUAUUUAAACUAAAUUGAUCCUGUAGUGUUCCUGGAGAAGCUAGAGCCUGAUUGUAGGCUACUACUCAUCAAUUAACUUCUACAG
rnacentral:sRNA from 1 species